UGUGGGCAAUAAACAAAUUGUUUAAGGACACUGACGGUUCACUCUGGACUCUAAGAAUCAGUUUCAAAGCAGUUAUUUGGCUCCAGCUUCACCAGAAACUCUAUUGGCUGAUCGUCUGAGUGUCAGACUCCACUGAGUCACUAUUUCUAAAAGAAGCUGAGUUAGCCACACAUCAAAAUCACACAGAUUUACUGCGUGGUGGAAUUACUAAAAGUGAACUUGAUGCAAAAGACAGAAUGUAUGUGUCUUUUGGAGGCCUGAAGACUCUUUUGUCCUCAACACAAAGAGAAUAAAUUCAACUACUCAACCCAGACUGUUGCAUUCAUUAACUAUAAGCUCCAGCCUCUUACAGAUCAAUGAAGAAAUCAUAAAAAUUGAUUAUUAGCUGUUGCUAUAACCAAGCUAUACCUUUUUCUCAGGACAGACCUUCAACUGUACCAAGUGAAGAGCUGCCAAGAAGAAGACACAAAUAAAUCAAUAAGUCAAAAGUCAGAAAGAAAUCUCUGUAUGUGUGUAUUCUUUUAUCUUUACACUGUAAGUUAGCAGUGUGCAGAUAUCUGCUGUUUAUUUUGCCAUGAAGACUUUCAUUACACAGUGAAAUAAAGGUUCGGGUUUGGACUUUGGUACUAAAAGUAAUGCACUACAAAAAGUUGUUUCUAUUUAUUUUUAUAGGCAGUAUAACAUCAGAAGACUUGGCAGGGCAAUUUUUAGAGAUGUGCUUCCCUCCUGAUUAUAAAUGAUUGGUCAUUUAGUGGACUGUUUCGGGCACUGUCUCCUCUGCUCUCUUCAUGCAUGUACACCCUUGGUCUUCUCUCUCCAGCCCCAAAAGAACUUGAGAGUAAAAACAAUCACAGAUGUCACAGCUGUU
ensembl:lncRNA